AGAUGCUGCAUCGAUAGCAGUUAGACCAUGACGCGUAGGAGAAGGCCGCAAUGGAAGGGUCUGUGAGUGUCAUUUUUUAAACAUUUUCAAGCCAUAGUUACUUUGAAUUCUGGAAUCAGACUCCUCAGAUAGGACAGGCUAUCAGCACCGCAGCAAGACAAGCUGAUUUCUCGAGGCACUGAAGGCCAGAAUUCCAGUGUACGCUGAAGACCAAAUGAGACAUCCAGCCUCAUGGAUUGAACAACUACUGAAGUUUGAGCCUUCAGUUGGUAAACAGCCAUUGUUGGAUUAGUUGGACCACCACCGGCUCUAGGCCAAAGCAGCGUGGAAGUUUGUUGGUCUAAAUACAGUGCUGUCUGGCGGGUGGAGACAUGCCCGGAAACACUGAGCAUAGCAUGCCGUGCCCUCCUGGCUCGAGCAGCCUAACCUCUCUUCAGAGAAAGCCAGCCCCAAUGGCAGGGUUCUUGGAUAAUUGGGGUUGCGCAUCAGAAUGUGUGACCCCAGAAGAGUUGAUUGCCAGCCCUAUCCGUUUCAAAUAAAAAUGGAGAGCCACUCAAGGCCCUGGCACAACUCCCUGGA
rnacentral:lncRNA from 1 species